rnacentral:rRNA from 1 species
AUGUCAUGGGUCACACCCAUGCUUGACAAGAAACAUAAGUGUUUCAUUCCAUGCCAACUCUUCUUCCUGUUCAUUUGCCUCAACCGAGCACCCUUCACCAUUGCUAAUGACCAGUUUGUCUACUCCGGCUUCGCCCAAGCUAACCUCAGCCUUGAUGGAGCUGCCACAAUCACACCAGAUGGACUCCUUGAACUAACAAAUGGCACCUUUAACCUCCAAGGCCAUGCUCUAUACCCAACUCCUCUACACUUCCGCACGUCGCCUAGUGGUUAUGUACAGUCUUUUUCUAUCAGCUUCGUCUUCAGCAUCCUCUCCGCCUACCCUGACAAGAGUGCUGAUGGCAUGGCCUUCUUCGUCACCAGAAACAAGAAUUUCUCCAGUGCGUUGCCAGCCCAGUACUUGGGGCUCCUCAACAACCAGAACAACGGUAAAGCAAGCAACCAUAUAUUUGCGGUGGAGCUUGACACCAAUCAAAAUAGUGAGUUCCAGGACAUCAAUGGCAACCAUGUUGGUAUCAACAUAAAUAGUCUCCACUCUGUGCAAUCCCAUGAUGCUGGCUUCUUUGAUGACAAAACUGGUAUGUUCAAGAACUUGAGCCUCAUUAGCCGUGAGAUGAUGCAGGUGUGGGUAGAGUAUGACGGAGGAGCUACAAAGGUCGAUGUAACUUUGGCUCCCAUCAAAAUGGCCAAGCCUGCAAGACCAUUACUGUCAACCAUCUAUGAUCUCUCAACAGUUUUCACAGACACGGCAUACAUUGGCUUCUCGUCCGCAACUGGAGUCAUCAAGUCAAGAUACUACAUACUUGGCUGGAGCUUCAGCAUGGGAAAGACUGCUCCUGGGAUUGACACAACCAAGCUGCCACAGUUACCUCAUGUUGGCCCAAAGCCUCACUCAAAGGUCUUAAAGAUUGUCCUGCCAAUAGUCAUUGCAGCAUUCAUCCUUAUUGCUGGAAUUAUCAUCAUUUUAUUUGCUCGAAGGAAAUUGGCAUAUACCGAGCUACAAGAAGACUGGGAGAUCGAGUUUGGGCCACAUCGAUUCCCGUAUAAGGAUUUGUUCAUAGGCACACAAGGAUUUAAUAAUAAGAACAUACUCGGAGCAGGAGGAUUCGGAAAGGUGUAUAAAGGCAUACUUCCUACAUCUCAAUUGGAGGUUGCGGUGAAGAAAUUGUCACAUGAUUCAAAGCAGGGAACAAAGGAAUUCAUUACUGAGAUUGUUAGCAUGGGCCGCCUUCGUCACCGCAACCUCGUGCAGUUACUUGGCUAUUGCAGGGGAAAAGGUGAACUCCUUUUGGUCUAUGAUUACAUGCCAAAUGGUAGUCUUGACAAGUACCUGCACUGUGAACAAGAAAUGCCCUUACUAGAUUGGGCAAUGCGGUUUCAUAUCAUCGAAGGAGUUGCAUGUGGCCUGCUCUACCUCCAUGAGAAGUGGGAUAAAGCUAUCAUCCACAGAGAUAUCAAAGCAAGCAAUGUGCUUCUCGAUAGCGAAUUAAAUGGGCGACUAGGAGAUUUUGGCCUUGCAAAAUCGUAUGAUCAUGGUACUGACCCACAUACCACACGUGUGGUCGGUACCAUGGGUUACCUUGCCCCAGAACUGUUACGCACAGGCAAGCUGUCUGCUCUUACGGAUGUUUUUGCCUUUGGCAUAUUCCUUCUUGAGGUCACCUGCGGGCAAAGGCCUGUCAAGCAGGAUGCAAAUGGCGAUCGAGUUAUGUUGGUUGACUUGGUACUUGAGAAUUGGCAGAAAGGAACAAUGGUGGAGAUAAUAGACCAGAGGCUCCAAGGCAAGUGCAAAACAGAUGAGGCAUGCCUGGUCCUGAAGCUUGGUCUAUUGUGCUCACAACCCUUUGCUAGCACAAGGCCUAGCAUGCAUCAAGUCAUGCAAUACCUCAACGGAGACAUGCCAUUACCAGAGUUCGCACCAACCGAUAUGAGCUUCAGCAUGCAAGCCUUGAUGGAAAACAGGGGAUUCAACCCUUCUAGCGUGUCAAAUCCACAGCUCAUGACAAGCAUUGCUACAUUGUCAGGCCUCUCGGGAGGGAGAUAA